UACGGAGGGUGCGAGCGUUGUCCGGAAUCAUUGGGCGUAAAGGGCGCGUAGGUGGCCCGGUCAGUCCGUGGUGAAAGCGCGGGGCUCAACCCUGCGUCGGCCAUGGAUACUGCCGCGGCUCGAGCACUGUAGAGGCAGGCGGAAUUCCGGGUGUAGCGGUGGAAUGCGUAGAGAUCCGGAAGAACACCGGAGGCGAGGGCGGCUUGCUGGGCGUAGUCUGACGCUGAGGCGCGAAAGCGUGGGGAGCGAACAGG
rnacentral:rRNA from 1 species